rnacentral:rRNA from 1 species
AUGAUCGCCCUCGAGAUAUGUCCAGCUCCAGGAGGUUCCCCUCGUCUCCGCCUCGUUCCAAGGAGGGAAGCCCUCGCGCCCGCUCCUCCCGUCUGCUCGAGCGCCGCCGCCUCGCGACCCUGCAUCCCUCGCCGCCGGCCUCUGCUUCCCCUGCUCCGACUUCGAGCAAGAGAACAAGAUGCGCCCCGACCCCUGCCGUCGCCUUCCUCCGCCGCCCUGGCCCGUUCUCGGCCGGUUCCCGCCGGCAAGACCCCGUUUCCGCCUCCAGAUCGCCGCACCGGCCAUCUUCCUCGCCGGAGCGCCCCGAUUCCUGCCUCCUCUGCAACCGGGUCGACCUCUGCUCGUCGUGGGCGUGGUCGUGUUGACCGCGCCCUGCCUCUCCAAGCCACGACCGGCGCCCGUUGA